rnacentral:rRNA from 1 species
GCGGAUGAACUGUGGGUAGCGGAGAAAUUCCAAUCGAACCCGGAGAUAGCUGGUUCUCCCCGAAAUAGUUUUAGGACUAGCCUCAAGUUAGAUACCUGGAGGUAAAGCACUGAAUAGCCUAGCGGCCGAGAGGUUAGCGAAGCUUAUCAAACUCAGAAUGCCAGAGUAUUGAUGCUUGGGAGUCAGACAGUGUCAGAUAAAUGUCAUUGUCAAAAGGGAAACAGCCCAGAUCUACAGCUAAGGUCCCAAAGUCAGGUUAAGUGGAAAACGAUGUGAAGAUACGCAGACAACCAGGAUGUUGGCUCAGAAGCAGCCACUCAUUCAAAGAGUGCGUAAUAGCUCACUGGUCGAGCGUCUUUGCGCGGAGAAUUUAACGGGGCUAAACCUGACACCGAAGCUUAGGCAAUACAGCAAUGUAUUGGGUAGGGGAGCGUUGUAUACGCGGUGAAACAGUAGCGCAAGCGGCUGUGGAGUGUAUAGAAGUGAGAAUGCCGGAAUGAGUAGCGCGAAUGCAGUGAGAAUCUGCAUGGCCGAAAGCCUCAGGUUUCUGGAGGAAGGUUCGUCCGCUCCAGGUUAGUCGGGAGCUAAGGUGAGGCCUAACGGCGUAGCCGAUGCACAGACGGUAGAGAUUCCGUCACCACCAAAAGAGUUAAACACAGGGACACAUUUGAAGUCUCGGAGCCGGGUGUUGGUUCCGGUAGCGAUCGAGGGAAAUUAGUACCGAAGUCCGGGAUGGAAGAUGGCGAGAAAAGCUGUGUGUAUUUCUGCGGUGCCCGUACCGCAAACCGACACAGGUAGGUAGGAAGAAGAUUCUAAGGCCAACGGGAGAAGGGUUGUUAAGGAACUCGGCAAAUUGACCCCGUAACUUCGGGAGAAGGGGUGCUCCAGAGAUGGAGCCGCAGAGAAUCGGCCCAAGCAACUGUUUACCAAAAACACAGGUUUGUGCUAAAUCGAAAGAUGACGUAUACGAGCUGACGCCUGCCCGGUGCUGGAAGGUUAAGAGGAGAUGUGCAAGCAUUGAAUCGAAGCCCCAGUGAACGGCGGCCGUAACUAUAACGGUCCUAAGGUAGCGAAAUUCCUUGUCAGGUAAGUUCUGACCCGCAUGAAAGGCGUAAUGAUUUGGGCACUGUCUCAACAGCCCGCCCGGCGAAAUUGUAGUACCGGUGAAGAUGCCGGUUACCCGCGACAAGACGGAAAGACCCCAUGGAGCUUUACUGUAGCCUAAUAUUGGGUUUCGAUGUUGCAUGCACAGGAUAGAUGGGACACAGGGAAACAAGUGCUUUGGCAUUUGUGGAGUGGCCGUUGGGAUACCAUCCUUGCGAUAUUGGAAUUCUAACCUGCGCCUUUGAAUCAAGGCGGGGGACAUUGUUAGGUGGGCAGUUUGACUGGGGCGGUCGCCUCCUAAAGAGUAACGGAGGCGUUCAAAGGUUCGCUCAGCUUGAACGGAAAUCAAGCAAAAGAGUGCAAACGCAGAAGCGAGCCUAACUGCGAGACUGACGGGUCGAGCAGUAACGAAAGUUGGAGUUAGUGAUCCGGUGGUAUGUGAGUGGAAAUGCCAUCGCUCAACGGAUAAAAGUUACCCUGGGGAUAACAGGCUGAUCUCCCCCAAGAGUCCACAUCGACGGGGAGGUUUGGCACCUCGAUGUCGGCUCAUCACAUCCUGGGGCUGUAUUCGGUCCCAAGGGUUCGGCUGUUCGCCGAUUAAAGUGGUACGCGAGCUGGGUUCAGAACGUCGCGAGACAGUUCGGUCCCUAUCUGUCGUGGGCGCAGGAUAUUUGAGGAGCUCUGUCCUUAGUACGAGAGGACCGGGAUGGACGUACCUCUGGUGCACCAGUUGUCAUGCCAAUGGCACGGCUGGGCAGCUAUGUACGGAACGGAUAAACGCUGAAAGCAUCUAAGCGUGAAGCCGACUCCAAGAUUAGAUAUCCCAUCGUAUAACGAGUAAGACCCCUUGAAGACUACGAGGUUGAUAGGCUGCGUGUGUAAGUGCCGUGAGGCAUUCAGCUUGGCAGUACUAAUAGGUCGAGGGCUUGACCA